rnacentral:rRNA from 1 species
UACGUAGGUCCCGAGCGUUGUCCGGAUUUAUUGGGCGUAAAGCGAGCGCAGGUGGUUUAUUAAGUCUGGUGUAAAAGGCAGUGGCUCAACCAUUGUAUGCAUUGGAAACUGGUAGACUUGAGUGCAGGAGAGGAGAGUGGAAUUCCAUGUGUGGCGGUGAAAUGCGUAGAUAUAUGGAGGAACACCGGUGGCGAAGGCGGCCUGCUGGACUGCAACUGACGUUGAGGCCCGAAAGCGUGGGGAGCAAACAGG